AUUUGUACGAGGCCGAGUCGGUUCUGAGAGAGUGUGUGAUUAUUAUUACGGGUCUGGAUGAUUUGUACAGGUCGGUUCUGGCGGUUCUGAGAGAGUGUGUGAUUAUUAUUACGGGUCUGGAUGAUUUGUACGGGUCGGUUCUGGCGGUUCUGAGAGAGUGUGUGAUUAUUAUUACGGGUCUGGAUGAUUUGUACAGGUCGGUUCUGGCGGUUCUGAGAGAGUGUGUGAUU